UACGUAGGUGGCAAGCGUUGUCCGGAAUUAUUGGGCGUAAAGCGCGCGCAGGCGGUCUCUUAAGUCUGAUGUGAAAGCCCACGGCUCAACCGUGGAGGGUCAUUGGAAACUGGGGGACUUGAGUACUGGAGAGGAGAGUGGAAUUCCAUGUGUAGCGGUGAAAUGCGUAGAUAUAUGGAGGAACACCAGUGGCGAAGGCGGCUCUCUGGCCAGUAACUGACGCUGAGGCGCGAAAGCUAGGGGAGCAAACGGG
rnacentral:rRNA from 1 species